AUCUGCAUUGUAAGAAAAAUGAGAAGAAUUCCUUCAGGAAGAAGAAAAAUGAUACCAGAUGGAUAUGUGGAUCCACAUAAAGGAACGAAGAGCACAGGAAAUAGUAACUAUACUGUCUUGCUCUGUCACCCAGGCUGGAGUGUGGUGGUGCGAUCUUGGCUCACUGCUAGACUGGUUGGAUCCAGAGGACUCGGCAAUGAAGCAUGGACCCCUGUUGAAAGGAAAAAUUUCAAUUGCACAAGAAGAAAAUAUGCUGAAAUAGACUACAGAAUAUUUAGAUCUUGGCCACUGAGUGAAAAUAUGCUGGAAUAGACUACAGAAUGUUUAGACCCACCACUCUCCUACCGUAAAAUACAACCCGGUUCUGGUUGGAUUGGCCUUCACCUGCCUAACCUAUUUUCCUUGGUCUUUUCACACUCUGUGAUUUAAUAUUUAUU
rnacentral:lncRNA from 10 species